UGGGCAAAGGUGUCUCCAUGACCGGCCCCAGUAAAAACCCUGGGCAGAAACAGGCUGGGUGGUGGUGGGCAAGAGCUGCUGUGUGACCAACAGGGAGGGAGCCUAGAAUGUCUGCUGUGGAUUUCCCAGGAUCCAGUUGUAUGUCCUUGCUGCGUGGCUGUAAUAAAUGCAGGCCAUGUGCACAAAGAUACCCUGAGUCCCCUGAUUCCUUCUAGCCAAUCUUCAACCCUGGAGUGGUCUUGCAACCCGGCAGAGCCAUGCUGUACUCAGUAUGCAGACAGUGAUAACGGGCCAGCCGUGACCUGGAGCCAAGGCCUCCCCAGAAGGCUGGGCAGGCAGGCAGCAUAGGUGCAAACCUGCCUGGACCUCGGCACAGGCCCUGUUGAGCUCGCUUCUGCUCAGACACACGGCUUAUAGCCCCUCAUGGCUCCCUCCAUCCUGAGUGGGUCCCAACGUCAUCAGGCGGCGCGCAGUCCCCGCGGGCGUCUUCUGGUGUAUUCACUGAGUGCUCCGCCCGCCGCCAAGGGGGUGACGUCACGGCAGGUGUGGCUGUCCUCGCCCGCCUGCGAACCUGCCACCACUUUGCAUCUGCUCACGCUUCUGCGAACGCUUCACCGCAGAAGACGUCCGCAGAUGGGAGUCCCUUAUACUCAUCUUCACCCCCCGAGAAUCCGAAUCCCUGGAAGGGCUGAGGAUACCAGGUGAAGAACCCCUGUGCCAAAUGAAGAUCUGUUAGAAGGGCUACGGCGUAAGACCAACCUCCAGGAAGUUCAUGACGGUGAAGAACAAUAGCAGGAAGGCCGGUGCAAAGACGAGGCGGUCCAGGAGGAGCCGCUUGACCCCUGCCCAGGGGACCUCAGAAGGGAUCCAGUGCUCCAUGAAGAGGUAGAAGAAGUGACUCAGUGGCCCUGUGAAGAAGAACCUGAGGCCCCGCCGUUGGGGUGAGCUGGACUCAGUCCUCUGGAUGUGCCCUUCCAGGGUCCAGCUUCACCCCCAAGGUCCAAGUCUGAAAACCUGCCUUCCUGGAGUCCCUCAUCACUGACCACAUAGGUCUACAUGCUCCUUCUAGAAAAUAUGCUUUCUUUGAAUCUCCUCCAAGCAUUUUUUUUGCCUUUCACAGACCAGAUUUGUUCUUGCCUUGGGUUCCCCCAGUCUUCAUGUGACCAGCUCCUUCUCAAUCCCAUCAGCUUGGAGAAUUCUUUGCUGGUUGUCCUGGAUAAUCAACCCACCACUAUCCUAGCCACUCUCAGUUCCAAGUCUUGUUUCAUUUUCUUCAUAGCAUUUUUCACUACAUGUCAUAAUCUUAUUUGAGUAGUCAAAAAAUACGCUCUCCUCAACCCCAAAAGGUAAAUGCCACGAGACAGGAUUGUGUCUAUCUGUUCACUGCUGUGACUGCAGGCCUAGAACAGGGCCUGGCUCAGAGAAGGUGCUCAACAAUAAACAAAUGGACACAUGUCUGGUGUUAGAGCUGCUCACCAAACUCCCUAGAUAAUUAGCAAGAGUGAAACCUAGUAGUGUGUGUCCAUACUGGCACUUCCUACUAUUUGUUCCAAAGUAAACAGAGAACUUGGAAGGGAACUACAUCUGUUGGGACAACAGAUCUGCAGCUCCAGAAAAUUUGGCAUAAAAAGAUAGGAAGGAACCCAUAGAUCUUUCAAUUUCUGACACUGGAAGUCUUUAAACAAGGGGAAUCUCAGUAGUCUUCCCCUUGCUGUAGAAGGUUCAGUGGCCUGGAGCAGGGGUUCCCAGUAGGAGGAGAAUGAAUGAAAAACUGCAAUUGGAUGAGGCUUCCCAGAUGAUACCGAUAUGCAUCCCUCUCUAGGGGCUUACACUUUAAAUAUGUUAUGGAAAAAGCUGUGAUCACUAUAGUUAACAUACAAAGACAAAAUCUGUGAAUUUUGAAUUGAAAAUAAAAAAACUUUGUUGUAAAAGACUUAAAAAUAAUCCACCUAUGCAAAUACUGUCAUUGGCCAGAGAACUCAGAGUGGAUUUAUUUAAAAAACUCCUAAAUCUCUAUGCUUUUGCAAUUCAAAAAGUCAUUCAGAAAUGACAUUUUUCAGGAUACCUAUACACAAUGCUUUAAUUUUUCCAAAUUAGAUUAUUCCAGACUCUUGACCUUGACACCUUACUUUGUCACACUUAGUCUGCUACUGGGUAAACCUUUAUGGAACUCACCCAUAAAUGGCAUAUCUGAGCGGCUCGCUGACAUCUAGUUUUUGAAAGCAGUUUUCUUUUUUCCGUUUCUUCUCAAUCAUCUGGGCCAGGAAAUUCCCAAGUGCUGACAGAAUGCCACUGUGGACAGAGAGCUAAUCAGAAAACAGAAGCAAACAGCAAGGUGUCCAUUUCUGAACAGAAUUAGCAUGGCUGUUCUGAGAUCAUGCUGAGGAUGGGUGGAAAUGAAUCUUUAUUAAAGCAGUGCAAUGUAAGGUCCCUACCUCAAAAAGUGGAGAUGGUAUAACUUAAUACACACACAGGAGCACAGUAAGAUUUCCAAUUGGUGCAGUUUAUCAAUGCUAGUGUCCUGAUCGUGACAUUGUACUAUAAUUUUGCAAAAGGUUACUGUGUGUGGGAGGGAGAUGUGUGAUUAUAAAUGGGCAACCGGAAGUACCCUCAUGAUGGAACUUUCCUGUUUUGACUGUGGUGGAUAUACAAACCUAUACACAAUGAAACUGCAUAGAACUGUGCAUGCACACACAUGUAUGCCAGUACAAGCAAAGCUGGGGAGAUGUUAAUGUGAUCUGUAGACUGUAUCUACACCAGUGUCUUUGUUGUGAUAUUGUACUGUAGUUUUACAAAAUAUUACCAAUGGGAGAAACUGGGCAAAGUGUAAAAGGAGUCUGCCUGUGUUAUUUUUUACAACUGCAUGCUAAUCUACAAUUAUUGUCAUAAAAUUUCAAUUAAAAGGUAGAGAUAGGUCUAGUUGUUCCAAGGCUUGGUCUGUAGCUACCUUCUGACCAUGGCUGCU